AGAAGUAAAUUGGAUUAGGCGUUGAGGCGCUCCAUGGGACCCCGUGCUGGUGUUUUCCAUGCAUAAAUUAUGGCGUCACAUGUAGCGUCUAAUGCGAGUUCAGGAUUUGUUACGUUUUCUGUAUUCAUGGAAGUUUUAAUUAAGAUUAAAUGAUUUUAAUAUAUAUUUCAGUAAUGGAGUAUCUGUUAGAGUUUCAAGGCGUCUACAAGCCAAGAAAGACUCUAAAUUUACAAGCAUCAAAGCCUGAGUCUCUAACACGUGUUGCUGUUUUAGAGCAGAGAGAAAAGGAAAGGUUGAGAAAAGCUGCAUACAGGGCCUAGUUAAGCCCACAUGAAAAAGCUUGGAUAAACAGAAAACGCAAAGAAAGAAAACAGCAAGCUAAUAGUCCACUUAAUGUCAUCUCAGCAGAGGUUGGUGAAUCACUAGGUACUGGAUUCCAGACUCCAGUGGCAAAAAGAAUGGCUGUUUCAAGAGCUUUGAUGAAAUUGCCUAGGUCACCCAAGAAAUAUGCUGCAGUUUUUGAUGGUCUCACACAAAUAUGCUCCCCAAGAAAAAGUAAAGCUGUCCAUGACAUACGCUUUCUGCGCCUACCUGAGAGAAGAAAGCUCAUCUUUCUAAACAACAUUAAAGAAAGUAUCAAAACCUAACUACACUCCACCAGCAAAAAAAAAAAAAGUCAGAUGUCUAGUGCUCAUAGACAAGUACUCUGCAGUAUCCUUAAUAAGUACAACAAACUCAGAGGUUGUGCUACUCAUUUCUAACAUUUGGUCAAGAAGUUUUAUGUCCAAGUGCAAAUCAGAACAAAUUGCAAGAAAAAAAAUGAAGUGAUUGCAUUGCACAAAA